rnacentral:rRNA from 1 species
AAACCAACAGGGAUUGCCUUAGUAACGGCGAGUGAAGCGGCAAAAGCUCAAAUUUGAAAUCUGGCACCUUCGGUGUCCGAGUUGUAAUUUGAAGAAGGUAACUUUGGAGUUGGCUCUUGUCUAUGUUCCUUGGAACAGGACGUCACAGAGGGUGAGAAUCCCGUGCGAUGAGAUGCCCA